GUGGGUGGCAGGCGUUGUCCGGAAUUAUUGGGCGUAAAGCGCGCGCAGGCGGUUCUUUAAGUCUGAUGUGAAAGCCCACGGCUCAACCGUGGAGGGUCAUUGGAAACUGGAGAACUUGAGUACAGAAGAGGAAAGCGGAAUUCCACGUGUAGCGGUGAAAUGCGUAGAGAUGUGGAGGAACACCAGUGGCGAAGGCGGCUUUCUGGUCUGUAACUGACGCUGAGGCGCGAAAGCGUGGGGGAGCAAACAGGAUUAGAUACCCUGGUAGUCCACGCCGUAAACGAUGAGUGCUAAGUGUUAGGGGGUUUCCGCCCCUUAGUGCUGCAGCUAACGCAUUAAGCACUCCGCCCUGGGAGUACGGCCGCAAGGCUG
rnacentral:rRNA from 1 species